UUCAAAUUCCCCUCAGUAUCUCUGGAUAUAGGCACCCAAACAUCUAGGGGAUAGUCAUUCCCCUAAAAAUGUCAGUUUUAUAAGCUCAACUGUGAAAAUCAGCAUUCCCAUGAAUGUUUUUGUAAUUCCAAGAAGAAUGAUUACAGAGAAAAAGAUCUACCUUUUAAUUGGAAAAGGUUGAUAUGAACUGAGUUCAAAUCUCAUGCUGAUUUGCCAUUGCCUUCAGCUGUGGAAGACCUAGAAAGAAUACCACCCGGAUCCUCGCCAAGGUGACUGGGGUCCUGCAGAAUCCUGUAAGAAAACUCCAGGAAAUGGAGCGCAUGCUUCUUCCUGGGCCCACAUCCAGAAUAAACAAGGGAAGAUCCCUGGAGUGUUUUCUUGUCCUCCUUUAGAUAGAUCAGCAAAAAGGACAAAUGCUAUGUUUCUCCUUUGGUCACUGUGCCUCCGAUUUCUUCCAGAAAUGAGGACAAGGAAAGAGCAGCAG
rnacentral:lncRNA from 1 species